ACAUGCUUGAUAUUUAUAAUGUUUUAAAAUGUUAGUUUGUCCGUUUAAAAUGUAGUAACCUAUGUGUGAGUCAAGUUACUAGCUAGCUAUGCUAACGGCUACAGCAAGUCGAGCCUUUGUCCCCUUCAAAUGUGCUCAUGUGGGCUCCUGCAGCCACACACCUGUGUGGAGAAAAGCUAAUGGCUAACGGCAUCGAGCGGCUACAGGCAGGGAGCGGUGGGUCUAGCGUCUGUCCUUUUUCUGUAAUCACAUACACCUGCGGGGAACAGCUGAUCGUUAUCGCCCUUCCAGCGGCGACAGACAGGAAGCGGUGGAUCUAGCUCGCUGUAGAGGGCAAAUCCCAGUUGCCCACAUGCAAGGAGGCUGUCAAACAGAGAAAUCACUGCAGACUGUUGGUACACGGACAUCUGCUGCCCAGCUCAGGAGUGAAGUACCUUUUGUUUUGAUGAGGUGAUGGUGAGGACAGCCACAGCUUCCAUCUGGUAGAGGACUGCUUCCGCUCAGUCUUCCAAAUAGUGAUGAGAACAAGGAUCACCACAUCUCCCUGUUUACCCUACUUUCAUGCAUUUCGUCUGCAAGGCCCUGCAAAAGCUUCUCCUUCGUCCUCAAACCCCCAGACUUCUUAAUUAACUCAGUAACCUAUACAUUGCACAUUGGAGUGUGAAGGUAACAGUUUGUUCUAGCUUUGGAGUAGUGGUGUAUUUUUUUGGUUUACAAUAAAGUUGGCUUUAACUAUUA